GCUUGUUGCUCAUGUUUGUUAAACGGGUUCUUAUUGCUGCAAUUCAAUGUCAGAAUACUCGUUUUUCACUCCCGCGGCACUUCUAAUGGGGGCUACUUCACUGCCACUCACUUCAUGAACGAAUCAUAGAAGUAUCCAAGAAGCGAGAUCGCCGGAAGUGUAAUGAGUUGUUGAAUGAGAUUUAUCAAGUUCAGAUAUGUGCACCCCACAUGACUAACUUGGUAGAGAUGCUUCCUUUUCCAUUGAUAGAGGAACAGAAAAUUGAAGUUGAGCAUGGCGGCCAGGAGUUGGUGCUGAUUUGUGAUGGAGAGGGUGUGGGCCGUGUGGCCGGAGUGUGAGAAGACAUUCUCGCAAAUGAACGUUCGGGGGCAUUAUCAAUUGUGUGUUACGUCGUGCAAAAAAUUAUCAGCCGUAAAUAUCGUGUGUCGAGUACCACAUCGGUCAGUUGUAAGACCAAAGAUGAAUUUAUAUAGCAAAGCAGAGCAGAUGAUUUCGUUCUUUGGGACAUCCGACAAAAUUGGAACGAUAUAUAAAAGAUUGCCAUGGCUCCUGCCUAAGGAUGACACGUAUAAACCUAGAAAUGGUCUGAAUUAAUUUUUCUUCAAAAUCAAUCAAGGUAUGGUUCUGGGUUUUGUUUUCUCGAUCAAAAUUUUCGGUGUUUUGAGAGGUUUCUGUCCAAUUUUGAGCCCUGGUGGCACUGUGACUGGCUGCAACUCUUCAUUAUUUGGAACCCAUGGCAAGCAUAGCACCUGUUAGACGAAAUGGGUGUGAGAAUCUCGAAUCUUAUUUCUACUGAACUGGGUUUGCAUUUUAUUAGCCUUUGUUUGCUGGUGAAAGUGGAGUCGACCAACUAGUUGAAAUCAUCAAGGAAUUUCAAACCACAUAUUCACUCACCCGCCACUUCAUCACCAGAUGAUGGGUGUUAUUUUAAGGACCCUAUAGAAGAAGUCAUUGAUGCCCAUGAUGGUCAGGUUGUAAGAUGAAGAUUAAGAAGAAAGCAAAAGCUAGUUUGAUCUGCCAAGCGAAAACAACUAGCAGGAAUGCUUGGAAAGGUGAAGCAAGAUUUCUCUAAUAAUGUUCAA